GUUCAUUUCGUUUUAAUCUGGGCCGUUCGUUUUUGAUUGAAUCUGGGCCGUCCGAUCGCGCGAUUGAUCUGGGCCGUCGGAUCGCACCCACGCGGAUCGCCAACGUGGCUCCUUUCGGAGUGACGCGAUCUUGCCACGUGGCAGGCCCUGGUUGGCCGGGACUGCUGACCGGGCCUGCUGACGUGGCUGCUGACGUGGCCCCCCCCCU
rnacentral:lncRNA from 1 species